rnacentral:sRNA from 1 species
UCGUCGGUGUUUGGGUUGCAGAUGCACGA